ACGCUCGACACCUACGGGAGGCAGCAGUGGGGAAUAUUGCACAAUGGGGGAAACCCUGAUGCAGCGACGCCGCGUGAGCGAAGAAGUAUUUCGGUAUGUAAAGCUCUAUCAGCAGGGAAGAAACUGACGGUACCCGACUAAGAAGCACCGGCUAAAUACGUGCAAGCAGCCGCGGUAAUCUGAGCGGGCUGGCAAGGC
rnacentral:rRNA from 1 species